rnacentral:rRNA from 1 species
GACAGAGGUCCCGAGCGUUAGGCGGAAUCACUGGGCUUAAAGCGUGUGUAGGCGGACUUCUAAGUACCUUGUGAAAUCCCACGGCUCAACCGUGGAACUGCUUGGUAUACUGGUUGUCUUGGGCCAUCUAGGGGCGAGCGGAACAAACGGUGGAGCGGUGAAAUGCGUAGAUAUCUGGAGGAACACCGGUGGCGAAGGCGGCAUCCUGGACCAACACUGACACUGAGGAGCGAAAGCCAGGGGAGCAAACGGG